rnacentral:rRNA from 1 species
AUAGCGUAUACUAAAGUUGUUGCAGUUAAAAAGCUCGUAGUUGAAUUUCUGGUCUCGGACAUCGGUCUGCCUCGAACGAGGUACGUACCAGUUGUCUGAAUCCAUCCUCGGGGAAAACAUGUCUGUCAUUCAGUUGAUGGGCAUGGGAUCCUCGUCAUUUACUGUGAGCAAAAUAGAGUGUUCAAAGCAGGCUUAUGCCGUUGAAUACAUUAGCAUGGAAUAAUAAGAUAGGACCUUGGUCUAAUUUUGUUGGUUUGUACUCCAAGGUAAUGAUUAAUAGGGAUAGUUGGGGGUAUUCGUAUUCAAUUGUCAGAGGUGAAAUUCUUGGAUUUAUGGAAGACGAACUACUG